rnacentral:pre_miRNA from 1 species
UGUUAUAAAUUCCAUUCAUUUUUACUGUUAAAAACUUAUCCAUAUACUUCAGUAUGAUGUACAUGUGACAUGCCAUGUGUCACUAUCUAAUUAUUCUAUCAACCACACCACUUUUUAACAAUACAAAUGGAUGAAAUUUUUAACU